rnacentral:lncRNA from 1 species
CUUCCUCAAGAAAGAUGUCGUCUAUCCAAAAAAAAUCUUCAAAAGAAAACCGCUUCACUAGCUCCUUCCUUACUGAGUCUUAACCUUGAAUGAAAAGCCAAGGCUUCAUCCUCCUCCCUCCUCGGACGGACCCCAUCCUUCUUCAAUUCUGUAAUACCCGGCUAGACUCCGGUAUCGGAAUUCCUACCGUCCGGUGGAAUCUCGGAUGUCGGAAACCUCUAGAAGGGUAAAACCAUGUUUUAUAAAAUGUUUUUAAUGUAUUUUAUGUUUUUAAGCAAAAAGGAAAUUGAGUUUUGAAUGAAAAAGACCAAAGGAGGCUUUGCCAGGUUCGACCGCCGAAAGUUAGGUUCGGCCGCCGAACAUGGUGGGGUUUUGGGAGCGCUUUAGGCCUUCGAAAGCCUUGCUUGAAAGACUCAAGGUUCGGCCGCCGAACCUCAUGUUCGGCCGCC